CGAUGUAAUAACAAUUUGGGCAAAUAAGUAUAGAAUAGAAGAGUUCCAGUAGGACCUAUCCCAUGAGGAAUAUGGACUAAAGCUAAAAGUGAGCAAUGCAGCACUCAACAAGUACAUUUUCUCGAUUUCAGCAUAAACAAAGAGGGAACAAUGAUAGCAACAGCAGUGUAUCGAAAACAGACCUAUCAGCCGGUACUGAUCCCAAGCUGGUCACCCGACCCGGCAGCACAAAAGGCUGCUGCGUUCCAAUAUUACUUCAAACAGGCAUAUGAAUACACAGUACAGAGCCAGGACCUACAGGAGGAACUUGACUACAUCUACAGAACGGGACAGGCGCACGGAUACUCCAAGAAGUUCCUCAACAAAAUACACACCAGGAUCAAAGCAGCCCAGAGUGAUAGGAGGAUU
rnacentral:lncRNA from 1 species